rnacentral:rRNA from 1 species
GAUGAACGCUAGCGGCAGGCUUAACACAUGCAAGUCGAGGGGUAUUGGUUUUCGGACCAAGAGACCGGCGCACGGGUGCGUAACGCGUAUGCAAUCUACCUUUUGCAGAGGGAUAGCCCCAGAGAAAUUUGGAUUAAUACCUCAUAGUAUAGUACUUUGGCAUCAAGGAACUAUUAAAGUCACAACGGCAAAGAUGAGCAUGCGUCCCAUUAGCUAGUUGGUAAGGUAACGGCUUACCAAGGCUACGAUGGGUAGGGGUUCUGAGAGGGAGAUCCCCCACACUGGUACUGAGACACGGACCAGACUCCUACGGGAGGCAGCAGUGAGGAAUAUUGGACAAUGGGCGCAAGCCUGAUCUAGCCAUGCCGCGUGCAGGAUGACGGUCCUAUGGAUUGUAAACUGCUUUUAUACAGGAAGAAACACUCCGACGUGUCGGAGCUUGACGGUACUGUAAGAAUAAGGAUCGGCUAACUCCGUGCCAGCAGCCG